rnacentral:rRNA from 1 species
GACAGAGGGGGCAAGCGUUGCUCAGAAUCACUGGGCGUAAAGGGCGCGUAGGCGGGAUGGCAAGUCAGUCGUGAAAUCUCUCGGCUCAACCGAGAAACGUCGGCUGAUACUGCCGUUCUUGAGGGAUGCAGAGGAGACUGGAAUUCCCGGUGUAGCGGUGAAAUGUGUAGAGAUCGGGAGGAACACCGGUGGCGAAGGCGGGUCUCUGGGCAUCUCCUGACGCUGAGGCGCGAAAGCGUGGGGAGCAAACGGG